rnacentral:tRNA from 1 species
GAGGCUAUGGUGUAGUGGUAACACAGAAGCUUGUGGAGCUUUUAUCUCCGGUUCGAAUCCGGAUAGCCUCCCCC